rnacentral:rRNA from 1 species
CGGGGCUUAAAGUCUUGUAAUUGGAAUGAUGGGAAUUUAAACCUCUUCCAGAGUAUCAAUUGGAGGGCAAGUCUGGUGCCAGCAGCCGCGGUAAUUCCAGCUCCAAUAGCGUAUAUUAAAAUUGUUGCAGUUAAAAAGCUCGUAGUUGAAUUUCUGCUGCAUUGCUUGUGUCCCUCUGGGGUCUGUGCAUGUGGCUUUUUUCGGACGGAGUUUCUUUGUCUGAAUGUUUACUUUGAGAAAAUUAGAGUGCUUCAAGCAGGCUUUUGCCUUGAAUACUUUAGCAUGGAAUAAUGGAGUAGGACUUUGGUUCUAUUUUGUUGGUUUUAGGAGCCAGAGUAAUGGUUAAUAGGAACAGUUGGGGGCAUUCGUAUUUGACUGUCAGAGGUGAAAUUCUUAGAUUUGUCAAAGACGAACUACUGCGAAAGCAUUUGCCAAGGAUGUUUUCAUUAAUCAAGAAC